AAAAACUACCUUCAGGGAUCAGGUCUAUAGCUUGUUACUAAAGAAGUUUCUCGGUACAUGUGCAGGACUGGAAACCACAAAGAGGAAGUGCAGGGUCCUUUCUAGAAUGUAAAGCUCGCUCUGGGUAUUGCUUCUGCAGCUGCCCUUUGCUGUUGAUGGUCUUUCUCCCCUCGAACAAGAGGGAAGGGAAACCAUUUGAGCGGG
ensembl:snoRNA U3 Small nucleolar RNA U3